CCGAAUGAAGACUAAGUGAGAAAAUAACGUCCAAACGUUGCACUGAGCAAUAUCAAGGAAAGAAACGGAUUCCAUUUGGAGUGAAAGGACUGAGAGAUCUAAUUCUUAUUCACUUGGCGGUUUUGGGCGCAGAUGGCAGUUGUGUAACCAAACGUGCCGGCUGAAUGAUGACGACUCUAGAACGCCUUGCCCCCGACCAUGUAUUUGCCAAGCCCAAAUGGGUGCGGAUAGUUUCCCGCAAUACGGACAAGGGCUGUGUGUAAACUAUUACUAGGCUCAGAGCAUAAUUCUCCAUCACACACAAGACAAGUCAAAUUUUUGCAUGAAAUAAACGUUCUUCAAUGGCAUCACA